ACCACGGCGUCGCGUUGGCAGCCUCUCCCUUGCAUAAGCUGAGGGCCAAGUUACUCAAGACCAGCCAUCGAUCCCUCCCACACCCAGCCCGCAUCGGUGUGGGUGUCAGUGUCGUCAUCAUCAUUUAAAGUCCCGCACCGGGGGUGUCUCCCACCCCGUUUGGAGACUGGCUUUGUUCUCAGCAAGGGCAAUAGGGGAGUUGGCUCUGGCUCCGAUUUGCUGAGUGCCCUCAAUACCACGCUUUACCUGUCCCCUUUGAGGUGUUGUCAUUCCCACUUUACAGUUGAGGAGACGGAGGCUCAGGGGACCCACAUGGCCCAACUAGUCACUCCCAGUCCUGCUUCCUCAUCGUUUCCGGUGGGUCUCGCUGCCUCUGGGGACCCUUGGAGUUCUUGUAAAUGAAAGACCAUUAGCCUGGAACCAAAUGUCCCAGGAGCCAGGACAGUGACAGAGAGAGGACGGCCAUGUGACGUGGGAAGGGGUCCCUCGUCACUCUGUCAACAAAGGCAAUACUCAGCUCCAGCUGGUUGCUGCCUGUGGGGACAUGGGCCCCGUUUGGCCAGAUCUUGUUCGAGAGAACUUGAAGUUUUUCACGUUUUGUGUGAAGCCUACUGACUCGAAAAUGAUAUUGGUUUACAUUCCAUUUACAUGAAAUGUGCAGAGCAGGCCCAGGUGAGCCACGGGAAGUUCGUGCAUUGCGGCCAAGCAGGGGCAUGUUUCCCGGCCCACACCUGUUGACCUCUCUCCUGAAAUGAAGAUGAGGAGGCUGUGGCUGUUUGGAAGAGGCAUGCAGAGCACGCCAUCUACACCCUCCAGAUCUUGGCCAGCUUCCCGAGCAAAGGCUUCCUCCCAGCGGAACGAACCAGAACAGCCAGAAAGGGCAGGGGCACGGUCGUCCGCUCACCUGCUCGCUUGCAAUCCUCCAAACACGCAAACAUCUGAAGACUCAAGAAUAAAUGUGCCAGAAACUGCUAGAAGCUCAGCGUGGUCGGAACGGCGGCGUGGAUGUGGAGGGCCGAGUUCCAGCGCCACGCAAUCUCUGACCCGUACAUACGGCCGCGCUCGACAAAUGUUUGCUGGACGACCGCGGGAAGAUGUCAGCGAGGGCACGAUCACCCUCGCGCUGGGGGCGGGUCUGCACGCGUGGCGGAGCCAGGAACCGCUCCACCCUGCACGCCUCUGCUGAGUCACAGCGGGACCACGUGUUCCAGCAGGGGUGUGGCUCCCGGUGGCCCCGCCCCGGCCCCGCCUCCUGUUCCUCUCCGCGCUCGCGGACGGCCGCGGGGGUUUUGACC